ACGGUCCUAAGGUAGCGAAAUUCCUUGUCGGGUAAGUUCCGACCUGCACGAAUGGCGUAACGAUCUCCACACUGUCUCGGCCAGAGACUCGGUGAAAUUGAAGUCGCGGUGAAAAUGCCGUGUACCCGCAGAAAGACGGAAAGACCCUGUGCACCUUUACUAUAGCUUGACAUUGGGAUUUGAGCCUGCAUGUGUAGCAUAGGUGGGAGGCUGUGAACUCUGUACGCCAGUAUGGAGGGAGCCAUCGUUGAAAUACCACCCUUGUUUGUUCAGGUCCCUAACUCCUCGCCGUGAUCCGGUAGGAGGACAGUGUCUGGUGGGUAGUUUGACUGGGGCGGUCGCCUCCCAAAAUGUAACGGAGGCAUGCAAAGGUUCCCUCAGGCUGAUUGGAAACCAGCCGUCGAGUGCAAACGCAAAAGGGAGCUUGACUGCAAGAGAGACAUCUCGAGCAGGUACGAAAGUAGGUGUUAGUGAUCCGGUGAUCCCGAAUGGAAGGGUCAUCGCUCAUUGGAUAAAAGGUACGCCGGGGAUAACAGGCUGAUCGCAUCCAAGAGUUCACAUCGACGAUGCGGUUUGGCACCUCGAUGUCGGCUCAUCACAUCCUGGGGCUGAAGCAGGUCCCAAGGGUACGGCUGUUCGCCGUUUAAAGUGGUACGCGAGCUGGGUUUAAAACGUCGUGAGACAGUUUGGUCCCUAUCUUCUGUGGGCGUAGGAGAAUUGAAAGGGCCUGUCCCUAGUACGAGAGGACCGGGAUGGACACACCACUGGUGGACCUGUUGUCGUGCCAACGGCACAGCAGGGUAGCUAUGUGUGGAAGGGAUAACCGCUGAAAGCAUCUAAGCGGGAAGCCUGCCUUAAGAUAAGUUCUCCCUGACGCAAGUCCUGAAGGGCCGAGGUAGACGACCUCGUUGAUAGGCUGGAGGUGGAAGCCCUGUGAGGGGUGGAGCUGACCAGUACUAAUAGCCCGUGCGUCUUGUUUCU
rnacentral:rRNA from 1 species